GUCAUUCAGUGCGCGUUUGGUAGUGACCAUGUGACUUUAAUAAUAGCGGAAGUAUUUACAGAGGGAAGGCUGACACAUGUAAAUUGCCAAUCUACGUUCUUAAUUUGCGUGCGUCUUUUAUAAUUAGUCAGUAAGACAUGGCAGAGCUGGACGUUGGACAACACUGCAGCGCUGAGAACUGCGGCCAGUUAGAUUUCUUACCUUUCCGCUGUGAUGGCUGUUCAGGAGUAUUUUGCCUAGAGCAUAGAAGCAGAGAGUCUCAUGGCUGCCCAGAGAUCCCACAGAGUAAUGAUUUGGGGAAAUCGGAAGGAAGCACCCAGUACCCAUGUAUGUAUGAAAGCUGCAGUGGAAAGGAAUUGGUACCAGUCCUAUGUCCCUACUGUGAAAAACAUUUCUGUCUGGGACAUCGACAUCAAUCAGAUCAUGAAUGUAGUAAGCUUGAUGGUCCAAAGCCACGAAUGGUGGCAACUCAGCAGCUUGUGAAAGAGAUUGUAGGUGUGUAGUGGAAAUGGAAGUGAUUCUAAGAAGUCUGCUCCAAACUGCAAAGUCCGAAGGGGAGCAAAAAACAGUGAAACAGCGGCAAAAGUUGCCCUUAUGAAGCUUAAACUGCACGCUGCUGGAGACAAGUCUUUGCCACAGACUGAGAGGGUCUAUUUCCAAGUAUAUUUGCCCAAGGGCCAGAAGGAGAAGAGCAAGCCAAUGUUCUUUUGCAAAAAGUGGAGCAUCGGCAAAGUUGUGGAUUAUGCAGCAUCACUAGCAAAUCUUAAGAAUGAUAACAACAAAGCUGCGGCAAAGAAGCUGAGAGUGUGCCAUACAGAGACAGGAGAGACCUUACCAUUGGACAGCACUGUAGAAACAUGGAUUUCUAAGUCACAGCACCCGUUAUACAAUGGCGGAAAUAUCAUUAUUGAAUAUCUGGACAAUGAAUCUCAUGGGCUACAAGAUGUCUGUUCCUAUUUAUUAUGAUGCUGGUAAAUAAUGUACAUACAAAGGCAAUGUUGCUAAAGGGCACAAUAAAUAUUUUAUAACACU